UGAAUUAAAGGGCCGCGGUAUUCCUGACCGUGCGAAGGUAGCAUAAUCAUUAGUCUUUUAAUUGGAGGCUCGUAUGAAUGGUUGGACGAAAAAUAAUCUGUCUCUUAGCUGAAAAUUGAAUUUAACAUUUAAGUGAAAAGGCUUAAAUAUAGUAAAAAGACGAUAAGACCCUAUAAAUCUUUACAUUAUCUUAAGGUUUAAGGCUAAAUAUAAGUAAAAUGUUUUUAAACUUUUUAUAAUGUUUUGUUGGGGCAACAUGAAUAGCAAUAUUUAUCUGUUUAUAAAAGUUACAANAAAUUUUUGANUGUAUAAAAAUAAGAUCCUUUUUAGAGAUUACAAGAUUAAGUUACUUUAGGGAUAACAGCGUUAUUUUACUUGAGAGUUCUUAUCGAAAGUAAAGUUUGCGACCUCGAUGUUGAAUUAAAAUUUCUNUA
rnacentral:rRNA from 1 species